rnacentral:rRNA from 1 species
AUACCCCAUAUGCUUUCGAGUGAAAUGGAUUUUUUCCGCCUGAAGAGAAGCUUGCGGCUGAUUAGCUUGUUGGUAGGGUAAUGGCCUACCAAGGCGACGAUCAGUAUCUGGUUUGAGAGGACGAUCAGACACACUGGAACUGAGACACGGUCCAGACUCCUACGGGAGGCAGCAGUAGGGAAUUUUCCGCAAUGGGCGAAAGCCUGACGGAGCAAUACCGCGUGAGGGAUGACUGCCCAUGGGUUGUAAACCUCUUUUUUCAGGGAGGAAUAAAUGACGUGUACCUGAAGAAUAAGCAUCGGCUAACUCCGUGCCAGCAGCCGCGGUAAGACGGAGGAUGCAAGUGUUAUCCGGAAUCACUGGGCGUAAAGCGUCUGUAGGUGGUCAAAUAAGUCUACUGUUAAAUCUUAAGGCUCAACCUUAAAAUCGCAGUGGAAACUAUUCGACUAGAGUAUAGUAGAGGUAAAGGGAAUUUCCAGUGGAGCGGUGAAAUGCGUAGAGAUUGGAAAGAACACCGAUGGCGAAGGCACUUUACUGGGCUAUUACUGACACUCAGAGACGAAAGCUAGGGUAGCAAAUGGGAUUAGAUACCCCAGUAGUCCUAGCCGUAAACGAUGGAUACUAGGUGUUGAACAGAUCGAACUGUGCAGUACUAAAGCU